AGCCUAAUUUAAUACUUUUACAUCAAAAGCUUUGCUCUGCUCGCCUCCAUCUGCAUCACAGCUUAACCUGCAUAUUUAGAAAACAUAUGCAGGGCUGAGUACUAAAAAGGUACUCAAUGGUCACAUGCCGAAAUAACCUUAAAGCUUGCUCUUAGAGCUAUAUAUUGAACUUGCCAUCUCAAGCAUCACACAGGAGUUUUAUUUAAAUAACCUGUGCACGCCAAAACUGUAAAACUUCUAUAUAUAUUAUCAUAACAUCAUAUACGUCUGCAGACAACUAACAUGUAUGUACCAUAACUACGCAUCAUGUAACCUUGUGUUGAGAAGUAGGCCUCCUUCUCAAACACAGUGAUCGGCCCGAAAGCUCCCGAUCACAGUGACCGGCCAACCCGCUCGAUGACUCACGGUCACAACUAUGUGCACAAACCCUUACUGACAUCUCGCUUCAGCAUAGGGCCGAUAUCGU
rnacentral:lncRNA from 1 species